GGCACAUAUCUGAACAUAGGAGACAGAGUACUCAUUGCCAAUAAGGGUGAAAGAGGAAAGAAGAAACUUGCUGACAAGUGGGAUGCAACAGUGUACACAGUCAGAGACAGAAAUCUGCAGACUCACACAUACAAGUUGGAAGAUGACAGAGGCAACAUAAAGGUGGUACAUCGCAACCUGGUUUUAAAUAUCAGCUUCCUGCCAGUAGUGACCGCUGAACUGUGUGACACUGGAUCUGAGGGAGGGUCAUGUGCGUCAGACCAGUUAGAUUCCUUGGAUGAGGAGACUGCAGAGGACAGGACCAGUGCUUGGAUCAACUCAGAUGAUGAUGAGAGUCAGGAGAUCCUGAGUGAGGGACUCUCGGGAUUGGGCAAGACAAGUCAACAAGCUCCAGAGGUGGUUGCAGGGGAUUCAACCCAGUGUUCCCUGGUAGGAGAGGACUACCCAGACAGAGACACAGACUUGGACAGUUUGGUAGCAGAACCUGACUUGGACCUCCCGUCUGUGUUAGACACACUUUCAGAAACUGCACUCACUCACUCACAUCCAUCAGACACAGAUCGUGAUGCACACACCAAGCCCCUAUCAGUAGUCCCUGUGCAUGUCGCCGACACGCAGAUGCCUCCAACGGAUGUAUGUCAUGAUGUGGGUCCACAAGGACAGCCACGGGCAGGCCCGGACAAUGUUGUCAUGACGCGAGCCGGCCGAGUUAGUAAAAGAGUUAAUCGACUCAUUGAGUCCAUGGUUCAAAAGCCUUUUGGCUUUAAGCGUUUGGCAAAUUCAGUUAGCAGAAGGUCUCAGUCUCUUCUUACGCUGUUUUAAGUAAACCCAGGUGUCUAGAGAUCUUUCUGUAUUUUGAUUCUAGGGGACAGUAUCAUUAUGGCACAAUUAAAUACAUAGUGUGUUUUUAAGGUAUUGAUGUGUGUGGAUGGCUGGGAAUGUGUGUGGUGUAAAUGGCAUCACACUGAUCUAAGAAAGGCUGAGGCCUGAUCACCCUCAUGCUCUUUCUGAACCUAUCUGGUAGAGCUUAUAGCUCGGAGGUUUAAACCCGUGCCCAGGAGCCAUAAAUUCUGUAGAUUUGUCCCUGUGUUCCAAUUAGAUUGUUCACCUGACUGUUCUGGAUUUUGGUGAAAUCUAGGAGGGGAGGAUGUAACAGGUGUAUUAAAAAAUAAUUUAUAUUUCACCAAAGAUCCAUCCUGCAGUGUUAUCUCGCUUUGUCAGUAUUGGUUAUGUAUAUGUGUUUAUUUAUAUAUAUGUUUAUUUUCUGUAUUUAUAUUUUGGGAGCUUUUAUUUUGUUUGUGUGACCUUUGACUUCCCAUGAAGUCACUUCCUGUAGCUG
ensembl:lncRNA